GGCUCAGGAUGAACGCUAGCUACAGGCUUAACACAUGCAAGUCGAGGGGCAGCACAGGUAGCAAUACCGGGUGGCGACCGGCGCACGGGUGAGUAACGCGUAUGCAACUUACCUAUCAGAGGGGGAUAACCCGGCGAAAGUCGGACUAAUACCGCAUGAAGCAGGGGUCCCGCAUGGGGAUAUUUGCUAAAGAUUCAUCGCUGAUAGAUAGGCAUGCGUUCCAUUAGGCAGUUGGCGGGGUAACGGCCCACCAAACCGACGAUGGAUAGGGGUUCUGAGAGGAAGGUCCCCCACAUUGGUACUGAGACACGGACCAAACUCCUACGGGAGGCAGCAGUGAGGAAUAUUGGUCAAUGGGCGUAAGCCUGAACCAGCCAAGUCGCGUGAGGGAUGAAGGUUCUAUGGAUCGUAAACCUCUUUUAUAAGGGAAUAAAGUGCGGGACGUGUCCCGUUUUGUAUGUACCUUAUGAAUAAGGAUCGGCUAACUCCGUGCCAGCAGCCGCGGUAAUACGGAGGAUCCGAGCGUUAUCCGGAUUUAUUGGGUUUAAAGGGUGCGUAGGCGGCCUUUUAAGUCAGCGGUGAAAGUCUGUGGCUCAACCAUAGAAUUGCCGUUGAAACUGGGGGGCUUGAGUAUGUUUGAGGCAGGCGGAAUGCGUGGUGUAGCGGUGAAAUGCUUAGAUAUCACGCAGAACCCCGAUUGCGAAGGCAGCCUGCCAAGCCAUGACUGACGCUGAUGCACGAAAGCGUGGGGAUCAAACAGGAUUAGAUACCCUGGUAGUCCACGCAGUAAACGAUGAUCACUAGCUGUUUGCGAUACAGUGUAAGCGGCACAGCGAAAGCGUUAAGUGAUCCACCUGGGGAGUACGCCGGCAACGGUGAAACUCAAAGGAAUUGACGGGGGCC
rnacentral:rRNA from 1 species